rnacentral:rRNA from 1 species
UACGAAGGGGGCAAGCGUUGUUCGGAAUUACUGGGCGUAAAGGGCGCGUAGGCGGUGCUCUAAGUCAGGCGUGAAAGCCCUGGGCUCAACCCGGGAAUUGCGCUUGAUACUGGAGCGCUUGAAUCCAGGAGAGGUUGGUGGAAUUCCCAGUGUAGAGGUGAAAUUCGUAGAUAUUCGGAGGAACACCAGAAGCGAAGGACGGCUGCACUGG